AUUGGGGACACGCAGAUUUAGCGAGCAGCCGGGAGUCCCACGAGGGGUUAGGGCAGGUUGCGUUUACCCUUAUGGAGAGCGAAAGAGGAACGGCCCCCGGGGGUCCACCCAGCAAGUUCAUUGGCUCCAAGAUGGCGAGAGAUUCUUGGCGGCUGCCCAUUGGUUGGAAGGUGCUUCCAUCUUACGUAAAGCGGGCAUUUACAGGAAGUCAGACUGUCAGCCUGUAAGGUUCCUUUUCCUGCGCGCAGUUCUCCAUUUCUUAUCCUUCAUUUCUUAUCCGUUUGAGACUAAAAUCCUUCCACAGACCUAGAACAGUCCUCGAGACAAAAAUAAUUGUUGUCAGUUUCACAAGUUAUCAGAUCAAGGAGAACCAUACUCAAGUUACUGCACUGAGAAGUAUGACCUGUACUUGGACCUGACAUGGAUGACAAUAACCUCAACUUCAAGACAAUGCUACCUGGCAGGGCUAGGACGAAGGUCCCAUGAGGGCCAAUCUGGGCCUUCAGUGUCUGCUUUUUGGGACUUCAUCACUCUCCAAACUACAUCUAAGAGCUUAUGCUCACCAAGUUCACUGACGGAGGUAAGACUCUCAUAGGACCAUCAGGCCCUCACUUCAGACUGUAAGUAAAACCGGCGCCUGGAUGUUUUUGCACUCUAGACUUUGUACUCC